GGGUCAGUAGGUUGGUCGUGCCACCGGUACGUACUGGUCUCACCGAUUCCUCCUUCCUGAAGAACCGUAAUGCCAUUAAUUUGGUGUUGCGGGGAAACAGGACUGUUACUUUGAAAAAAUUCGAGUGUUUAAAGCAAGCUAACGCUUGAAUGCAUUAGCAUGGAAUAAUGAAAUAGGACGAUCGAUCCUAUUUUGUUGGUUUCUAGGAUUGACGUA
rnacentral:rRNA from 1 species